rnacentral:rRNA from 1 species
AUGUCGCUCGCGCCGCCAACCCUAUCGAUCUCGCGCGUCACGCCUCGGGAGGAGAGGAAGCCCACGCUACAAUACCCGGCGGAGCACUCCCUCGCGCCGUCGACGGGAGGAGGCCAGGCGGAGUGCGCCGUCGUCGCCGCAGCCUGGAGUGCGCCGUCGUCGCCGCAACUCAUUCGCGCCUCCCCCACGUCUCCGACGAGCUCCAGCGAUGUCCCGGUGGCGGCCGAGGGGCGGGACGCAGCGGAUGGACGCGGCACUCGACCACUUCAACUUGAUGGCCUACCGCAAGGCCGACGUCCGCAACCUCUGUCAACAAGCUGCUCAAGGAUGUGUACGGGAGGGAUGGGUGGCCGUUCCUGGAGGACAGCUGGUACUCCGUCGUGCAGGAGGCGCUCUUUGAGAUGCAGGAGGAGCUCGCUGGCCUCGAUUCGUCCGGCGCAAUCCGGUGCGUCAAGAGGGCGUGCCGUCGGAUGCGCCGUUAGCUUCAGGCCAUGUAUCGACAUUGACAAGGGCAAAGUUAAACAGAUUGUUGGAUCUACUCUCCGGGAUGCAUCGAAUGAUGGCAUGACACGGGUGACAAAAGUCUCCAUCAGAAUUUGCAAAUAUUUACAAAGAAGAUGGACUGGUUGGUGGGCAUGUCAUAAUGCUUGGCGGAGACCCUGCAAGCUGCUAUGCUGCCCUGGAAGCACUCCUCUUCCUGCCUCACCACCUGUUCAGGAACCGUAUCAUAAGUGGUGCCUUCUUCCGCGAACAGUUGCGGUGCUCGCUGUCGGCGUCAGACUCCCAAGCAAGCGAGGAUGA